UACAGAGGGUGCAAGCGUUGUUCGGAAUUAUUGGGCGUAAAGGGAGUGUAGGCGGUCUGGUAAGUCUUCUGUGAAAUCUACGGGCUUAGCCUGUAACGUGCAGAGGAAACUACCAGGCUUGAGUGUCGGAGAGGAUAGGGGAAUUCCCGGUGUAGAGGUGAAAUUCGUAGAGAUCGGGAGGAACACCAGUGGCGAAGGCGCCUAUCUGGCUGACAACUGACGCUGAGGCUCGAAAGCAUGGGGAGCAAACAGG
rnacentral:rRNA from 1 species